AGAUUCACUUUGGUAACAUAUUUACUAAAAUUGGAAUGAUACAGAGAAUUUUAACAUUGGCCCCAUGCAAGGAUGACAUGCAAAUUCAUGAAGCAUUGUAUAUAUUU
ensembl:snRNA U6 U6 spliceosomal RNA